CACGUAGGGGGCAAGCGUUGUCCGGAUUUAUUGGGCGUAAAGAGCUCGUAGGCGGUUCGGUAAGUCGGGUGUGAAAACUCUGGGCUCAACUCAGAGACGCCACCUGAUACUGCCGUGACUUGAGUCUGGUAGGGGAGUGUGGAAUUCCCGGUGUAGCGGUGAAAUGCGCAGAUAUCGGGAGGAACACCAGUGGCGAAGGCGGCACUCUGGGCCAGUACUGACGCUGAGGAGCGAAAGCGUGGGGAGCGAACAGG
rnacentral:rRNA from 1 species